rnacentral:tRNA from 1 species
AUCACAAAGCAAAGCACUGAAAAUGCUUAGAUGGGUAUUUAUACCCCAUAAACA